GCCUCUGUCGCCGCCGCCGCCUCAGCUUCCCACAGCCGCUGCCGCUGCCUCCGCCGCUCUGCCUGGUCCAACCUCCAGGCCCAGUGCUCUGACUUUGCCGAACCGAGGCGCUCUGCAGAGACAUCCUUACUCCUUCCUGGGGGUCCGGGACGCUUAGGCCGACGUUGGGGGGAAACCUCCGCUUGCGGGUGACAGGGAGGGAGGAGCCUGGAGCUGGAGCUCGCGGCACCCGUCGCCCGGAUCAACAGGACAGGACAGGUUGAGGGGCGUCGGGGAAAGGAAGGGGUGUUAUAGCAGUCCCAGGGAGGACGAGAAAGCCCUGGCGCAGGAAGCUCUGAUGCGCUGUGACUUAUUAAGGGCCUGUUCACGUUUGAGGAGUGUUGACAACGUGGGUGCACUCCUCUCUUGGGGGCCUUGUUAGAUUGGAGGGUGUGGGAUCUAAGCAGUGCCAGUUGUUCCUCGGGAAAUUUAAGGGGCAACUAGAAAACAGACAGAAACGGCGGAUGCUCCUUUUUUCGGGGCGACAGAGGGUCCUGCAGACAACCACCUGGUGUCUGCACUAAGAAGGGUUGAUUUGGAGGUGACUUCAAAAGGAGUGGAGGGUAGCAAGGUGAGGGAAUGGUGUUAGCAGCUGGGACUCUGUGGUACUAGAAAUGGGGGUGACAAUGAGAAAAAGCAUUAUCCAGCCAGGGGGCCUGGGAACCCCUUUUCACUGAACCUAAACAGCCUGAAUUUUGAGUCAUAUUUGCUGGCAGAGGGGGGAUUUGAAGAAAGUGGGAGACCCACUCCAUUUAGAGUAU
rnacentral:lncRNA from 1 species